AGGAACGAAAACUCCUAACCUUAAAUUCCCUACCUUACGACCUCAAAAUUCCCUACUUCCCAAUUAGCUGGAGAAAUUUUAAAAAAAUUAAUGUAUAGUAUCUGUCUAUCUAUCUAAUGUAUAGUACACAUGUAUGUAUGUUCGCCUGGUUAUGUUCAUUUUAUGAUUAAUUUAGAAAUGAAUAUUCCCAUGAUCCGCAUCGAGCUGAAGAAAAUAUAAAUGAAUUACGAAAUAAAUGUUGUUUAAUGAACGAUAAGACUAAAUUGGAUAUAGUUACAGAUAUUCAUAAUGAUAAGUUACAUAAAAAAAAUUAUCUUCAAAAUUUUAAAUAUUUCAUGCCUAAAAAUAUGAUAACUGAACUGACUGAUAUUGUAUUUUUGUAUGCACAUACACUCAAAUUUAAACUCUCUCAAGCUGAUCCAACAAUUUACCAACACAAAGUCAAACAAAUAAUAAAUCUUUCAACACGCCGACCGUACGAACAACCGACCGAUUGAACGACCAUUUGACUAAAAAAAAGUCGAAACUAACCAAAAAUCAGUACUAAUCAACAAUAUACAAUAAAAUAUUAUUUUUCUUUGCACGCGCAAUCGGUAUUUACUCGCUGCCAGCAGGGGCAAAAAUGUGGAAAACUGAAUUUAAGCAACGUGUUGUGAGUUUGUAACAAUGAUGAAAAAGCAAAGGAAACGAUGGCAUUGCUACAAAAGCAGCAAAAACCACACUACAGCUAAAUAAAUAAAACGCAAAUAUAUACUAUGUGUGUACACUUUAUGCAGUACAUACAAUUGAAGCAGAGGAGACGACGACUUCAAAACAAUGACAACAGAAACAGCGACAACGGAAUUACAUACAUUUUUGCAUGCGACAUUAUGCGGGUACAUAGCAUAGUCGGUAUGUAUUUUCAAUUCCGAUCUAACGACAAUAAUGAUGACGAUAGCUAAAAUAAUAAAAUACGCCACGGGAAUGUCGCUACGAAGGGGAAGGAAAAACCAACCUACAAAAAUAUCAUAAUUAUUAAAGAUGAUAAUGGCAAUGUAACGAUAAUAGCACCAGCGAUGGAUGAAAAGAACUAUGAUCAAUAACCACAAUAAGGGCGACUAGACACAACACUUUGUUGUACAGAAACCUACAUAGUGUGUACAAACAUACAUUUAUAUGUGUAUAUGUGUUUACACAAAAAAUAUACAUAUUUGUACAAAUAUAAAACUUAGAGAUCAUAGAGUCAGUCAUUUUGGUUGUGCGAGGUUGUAAUUGCAUACAAAUAUACAUCAAGAAAUUAUUAUGACAACAGCGGUAAGCGUUGUGGCGUUUUUGAACGAAUCAUUGACCUCAAUCGCAGUGGAUUUUAGAAAGAACUGUUUCUUAAUCAAAUGCAAAUAAAUUAAUAUUCUUAGAAUUGUUCGUACUAAAAUUUAUUACUAAAUCUUAAAAAAUUAUUUCAAUUGUUUUACUUGGUACGACUUAAAAGCUUAUUCACAUCCUAGUAUUAUAUAUUUGAGACUACCGGCCGGAGAAAUAAAGCAUGUAGUAAAAUAUAUAUUUUGAAGAAAUCCAAGGGUUAUGGAUACACACAUGGUAGUGCAAUAUGCACCCAAUAGCAGACACACACGCUCGCCAAAGAUGAGUAAUAUGAUGAUAAUGACGAUGACGAUAAUGGUGAUGAAAGUAAACGAACUGAAAAUCGAUUUAUAGAAGCUAUGUUAAGGGACAAAAUGGAGCUCUAUGUAAAAUAAACAGUAAACACUACAUAUAAAAUAUACACAUGAUUGUAUAUAUAAAUAUAUGUAUGUAUGUA
rnacentral:lncRNA from 1 species